CGUCAUAAUUUCAAAAUGGCUGACAUUCGCUGGCUGCUGCUCUACGUCAACUUUUAAGCAUGUUUACAUGUAAAUAAGGGUAUGGCAGCAACUAAUAAUGAAUUGUAAAACUAUUUACGGAUAAGUGCUAUCGAUUUAACGUAAUAAUAGAACUUUUAUGAAGUUAUUUAUGAAGCAAUCAGCCUUCGAUGUUCGUACAUAGAACUUUCGUACCUAGUGUCAGGCAAGAUAAAAAAUUACAACAAGGAACAAUUUCAACAAAUGUCUGGAUACCACAAUAUGAUUGUAACAUUUGAAUUGAAGUCAGACACCUUACUGUACCACCAUGCAACUGUAUCAUCUAUCUUCCGUAACCGCCGAACCCCUUUCGGUGACGUAGACGUUGUUCGUCAGUAUAUAGAUAAUUUUAGUGAUAGAGCAGCCCUUUUUUAUGGUUUGGCAGAUUCCCUAGAGAGCUGCAUUGGGAAGUAACAGUAAAGCAGAAUACCUACAGUCCAUGAAGUUGAGAAAUGAAGAAAUGCAGCUCUGAAUGGUUUAAUACGGUGUGUGGGGAAAACAUUGUGGAUAUGAAGCAUAGAAAUCAUGUGUCAAUUUGAAGUAACAGUAACACAGAAUGGCUAGAGACCAUAACUUGAGAACUGAAGAGAUGCAGGUCAUUGUUCUAUAUGGUGAUUGAUGGAACUAUGGUGCAGUUUUGAAUUGAUAAGGUAGAUCAUUGAUACAUGUUUCCAUGUAACCAUUAGAGGUACUGGCAAGCAACCUGUGUGAAAAAAGCUUCGGACCAAGGGAACUAACUUUUGCCGCACCUGGUGUGAAGUUACAGAAAAGCAGAAUAGCUACAGACCAUGAAAUUUAGAAAAUGAAAAGAUGCAUGUCUCAGUUCAGCAUGGUGUAUAUGGGAAACAUUGUGUAUGGCAGACCUCUGUUCAACAUGGUGUAUAUGGGAAACAUUGUGGGUCACAGACCUCUGUUCAACAUUGUGUAUAUGGGUGGGUCGCGGACAUGAAAUGAUUUGUGUGAAGUAACAGUAAAGCAGAAUGGCUACAGACAAUUAGUUCAGAAUUGAAGAAGAGAUGCAGGUCUUUGUUCUAUAUGGUGUAUGAGGGAACCAUGGUGGAAAUUUGGAUUUCAUGGCAGUCAUAGAAAUAUCUAAUAAGUCUGUUCUACAGUGAUGUGUGUACCAGUCUGUCAGACUUUUACCUGUCUGUCCAGUCGACAAAUUCGCAAUAGAUGCGUAGAUUCUCAAACAAUUUGGCAGAGUUUUCACAGUUACUACGACAGAUUGCAAAAAAUGUUUGUACCCAAAACCCUGAAAUGAGAGCGCUUGAACAAUGUGAAGUUUGUCGCAUAGAAGGGGAUUGACCGCCUUUGUGUAUAUAAGUCUACAACUUCUCAGAUUUGACUGAAGACAAUUGUUUGGUGUUGUGAAUAUAGAAAUAUAUGAGGUAGGGCAGUUUUCCAUAAACACAACAAGAAGUUCACAUUUGUUGCACAGAUUUGUGUCUCUCAUGUGUGGAGUUGAAGGAAUUGUUAUAGGAAAAGUCUACAGAAUAUGUAAGGAUAUGAUAGCCAAACAUCUUCCCCAAGAUUCCAUGCAGCAACCUUCUGAUAGAAAGAUGUACCUGUCGUGCAAAGGUAUAAGCUGGCUUGGUAACAGGAAAAAGAAAAGGAAAAUGGCCCCAGGAAAGACAAGAUACAGCAGAUACAAGUUGCUAAGGACAAGAAUGUCUGUUAUUCAUGGAAACAUCAGAGUUCAGCAGGUUCUUGAAACAGGCCAUUUGAAACCAGAGACUACCGGUACAUUUUUGGUGAUCAUUUGACCAAGCCAGUUGUGUUUUAACAUGAGACAGGAAAAGUACAUGUAUAUACUCUGCACCAUGGUUACAGAUUUGCAGUAUCAACCAGCAUCCACAGCCAUUCUAAAUAUAGGACCAACACAAUCAGACAAGCUGGCAAGAUGUUCAAGAGUGGUAACAUGCUGCCCAAGAUUCUAGUCUGGAGAUACCAUCAGUCAUCUUAGAAUGUUUUUUUAAGAUUUAAGAAAAAUGUGACAUUGACUUAAGACUACAUUUUUACUGUUUUCAGCCAAAGGCUUUCUCUGUUUUUUUUUUGUUUUUUUUGUUUUUUGUUUUUUUUUUUAACAUUAAUAAUAUCUGUCAUGUGUUUAAGAAUCGGUUAUAAAUAUCCCUCCAGAGGGCACCUGCGCAUUGGGUGGUAAUGAGGCUUGCCGAAUUACCGCUCAUGCGCAGGUGGCCGAGGGACAGAUAUAUCCAUCUGAUUUGUAAAGACAUGACUGAUAUUUUUUCUUGCAUAUCGAAUACAUGCUACCAUUUUAAUCGGCAGAAUUUCUUGCAAAUUGUAUUUUACAGAUAAGAGCUAGAAAUACUUUCUUUAUAGCACUCUUUCUUACAGUAGAGAAUGAACACAAAGCGCAGGAAAUUAACAUCCGUAAGCAGAAGUGACGUCAUGAUGUUUUGCGUUACGCACAAUAACAAUGUUCCACUUUAGUUUAAUUGUUUGUAACGUAACGUUAUGUUCUUACGGUAAACUAAUGUAUUUUGAAUCGAGGAAUAUACUAUAAGGAACUGAGAGAAACUAUCGAGGUUACUGCUUUUUUUUGUAUUUUACAUAAUAUAUUAUCAGUGCUUGAACCACUACACUAGUUGGUUUAAACUGUAUUUAUUUCCACAAAUUGUAUACACAGACAUGAGUACUAUAUUCAAAUUAACAAAGUUUGAUAAAAAGACAUACAUCAAUCAAAAAAGUACAAACAAAGAAAUUUUUAAUCGAAUGGAUUGGAAAACAAGCUACUUUCAUUCGAUUAAAAAUUUCUUUGUUUGUUUGUACUAUUUUGAUACUACACUAGUUGUCAUUAACAGCACGAGAGUCAUCUGGCAUGGGGGGGUGGGGGGGGGGGUGCCAGAUGGGUUUUGCCGGCAUGGGUAAAAUCACCGGAAACGCCAGUCCGAUGUGCAAGAAAUUAUCUGGAAAAUAACUGUAUUGAGACAAGUUUGUAUGUCAAAAUAAAACAAUAAAAAAUAUUUUUAUGUUAUAAAUAUUUUUUUCUAACUUAUGAAGUGACUUUAUCAUGUCUCUAAGAUACGCAAGAUUACAGUGAUUGUUUUUUAGCUCAACAGAGCACAAAGUGCUCAAGGUGAGCUAUUGUGACUGGUUAUUGUCCAUCUUGUGUCGUUUGUCAACAUUUGCCUUGUUAACAGAUAAGCUUUUGGUACAAUUGGGUAUUUACCCAUCACUUUUUGCCUGAAUUGGGUAUUGGAAAUCUGAAUUGGGUAAAAAGAAAUUUAAAUCAUUACCUAGCCUUUUCAGAAGUGACUGGGUAUUUGCUAAAACGAAUUGGGUAUUUCACCAAUCUCACAUACAACAUCCGAGUAUUUUUUGCUUACAAUAUACAUGGUAUAAUUACUGAUCUACCUUCUUUAUACUGUCUCUUUAAAAAUAUAUUUAGUAAUACAUGCCUGUUAUGAAGGUAAAUAUGACUUUGUGUAUCUUAAGUAAUAGUGCUAAAGAUAUUUCUUUUCUCCAAUCAUUUAAUGUAUUCUGAGAUACUUUUGUUUGAUACUGUUUUCUUUUUCACUUUUAUGCAGUUAGAGAUCAAUUUAUCAAUAUCCCAAGUGAAUGGUACUGCCAUUUUUCCGAUAAACUGCGACCUGUUUUUUGGUAACGUAUAACCAGUCAUUUGUCUAGCAUUAGUAAGGUUAUAACACACUCAAUAGUUGUUCUUCUUUAUUCUGUAUAAAAAUGACCUAUUUCCAAUGACCGCAGCACACAUCAGGACCCAUUUUAAAUGUCUGUAACUUACAUUGUCUUAGAGAAUAUUGUCAGUGCUAAAUAAAAAUCAGUAGAAAAGUGGGGGUCAUGUUUGAUGCAAGAAAAAUAUUUUCAGUCAAAUACACAAACUGCAAAAUCAGCUAAA